AUGGGAGUUCUGGCGCACUGUGUUAUUCUUUUUAUAUUCCAGCAUUUGACGUCAUCUUAUGAUUUUAAAGAAGGACAAUAUAACAGCGGUCAGUAUGAAUUUGUGAAAGAUCCCAGUUUGAAUAUCGAAAAGAGAUCACCAGAUUUAGAUCCGUUUGAUUCUGAAUCAUCCGACCACAUUAGGAGCAGAAGAAGUGCGGAUCAAGGAGACUGUGACCGUCUCCAGGGAUUCGACACCAAGUUGACUAACAACACCCAAACCUAUUCCUUCAAUGACCUGAGUGGGUCCGUGUCACUGGCCUGGGUUGGAGACGCCACUGGGGUCAUCCUGGCUCUGACAACAUUCCAGGUGCCGUUCUUCAUGUUGCGAUUCGGUCAGUCUAAACUCUAUCGAAGUGAGAACUACGGGAAGUCGUUCCAGGACGUCACAAACCUCAUCAACAACACUUUCAUCCGGACAGAGUUCGGCAUCGCCAUCGGACCAGAGAACUCUGGGAAGGUGAUCCUGACAGGUGAUGUGUCUGGCAGCCUGGGCUCUCGUAUCUUUAUCUCCAGAGACUUUGGGAACAGCUUUGAGCAGCAGGACCUUCCCUUCAACCCCCUGAUGCAGAUCAUAUACAACCCCAUAGACGCCAACGUUCUCCUGGUCAUCAGCAACACUAAUGAACUCUGGCUGUCUGAGGACUUUGGGGAGAAGUGGAGGAAGAUCCACGACAUGGUGUGUCUGGCCAAAUGUCCUCAUGAGAGCCAGUUAACUCUAAUGAACUUAUCCUCUGCAGCAGAGGUAACUNNNNNNNNNNUUGGCCACGAGGAGUUCUAUUCUAUCUUGUCAGCCAAUGACGACAUGGUGUUCAUGCACGUGGAUGAACCAGGAGGUCAGUCAAUAGCCUAUACUGUGUUCUUUUUUUCCACAGAAUGUCACUCUACCAUACAUGGAGAAACGCUGGAUUAUAUCUAUAUGUCUCUCAGGAUAACCUCUGUCUCGUCGUUGUGUUUAUUUAUUUCUCCUCCAGACGGCUCGGUGCAGUCCGUGGUGUCCUUCGACCAGGGAGGGGAAUGGGUGCCCCUGCAGAAACCUGCCAACACCAAGUGUGACUCCACAGCCAAAGACCCCGACAAGUGCAGUCUCCACAUCCACGCAGCUUACAGCACGGCUAUGAAGCUGAACGUCCCCAUGCUGCCUCUCAGUGAACCAAACGCUGUAGGACUCAUCAUGGCUCACGGGAGUGUGGGCGAUGCCAUCUCUGUGAUGAAGCCUGACGUAUUCGUGUCAGAUGAUGGAGGUUACACCUGGCUACAGGCCCUGGAGGGACCUCACCACUAUGCCAUCCUGGACUCUGGUGGACUCCUGGUGGCCGUGGAGCACUCUGCUCAGCCCAUCAAAGACAUCAAGUUUUCCACAGACGAGGGCCAGUGCUGGCACGUUCACCAGUUCACUAGCGAUCCCAUCCACUUCACAGGGCUAGCGUCGGAGCCGGGGGCGAGGUCUAUGAACGUCAGUGUCUGGGGCUACAGAGACUCUCUGCUCAGUCAGUACUGGGUAUCAGUCACCAUCGACUUCAGAGAGCUGCUCACUAGAGACUUGGUGGUCNNNNNNNNNNUGGGUUACAAGGAGAAGUUCCUGCGUCUGAGGAAGGCCUCUGUCUGCUUGAACGGACGGGACUAUGAGGUCAACAAGCAACCCGCCCCUUGUCCCUGCACCCUGGAUGACUUUCUGUGUGACUUUGGGUACUAUCGUAAAGAGAACAGCUCCGAGUGUGUGGAGCAGCCUGACCUGAAGGGCCACGUUCUGGAGUUCUGUCUGCAAGGCAAGAAGGAGCUGCUGCAGACCAGAGGCUAUAGGAAGAUCCCUGGGGAUAAGUGUGAGGGAGGAACACAGCCGGAGAGAAAAGAGAUAGACCUCAGUAAGAGGUGUGUCAAUGACCUACUGGGACCUCAGGAACUACUGGUGAGUAGAGAUGACCACGCCACUGUUCUGAUCAUUAUCCUGCUCAGUGUCGUGGCCGGGUUCCUCUUUGUCAAGAAGUACGUCUGUGGUGGAAGGUUCCUGGUACACAGGUACUCUGUCCUACAGCAGCAUGCUGAGGCCCAGGGAGACGGAGUAGACGAGCCAUUAGACAGCAACCACACUCGGGCUAGCAACAAGACCGGCUUACACGAUUCAGACGAGGUAAUGGUACAAACACACAAACGUUUUUUUUGUAUGGCCUCCGCACUUAUUAUAAAUAUACAAUUUACCUCAAUCCCUUGGUGA
rnacentral:lncRNA from 13 species